rnacentral:rRNA from 1 species
UAAUACGUAGGUGGCAAGCGUUAUCCGGAUUUACUGGGUGUAAAGGGCGUGUAGGCGGGAUCAUAAGUCAGAUGUGAAAUUCCAGGGCUCAACCCUGGAACUGCAUUUGAAACUAUGGUUCUUGAGUGAUGGAGAGGCAGGCGGAAUUCCGAGUGUAGCGGUGAAAUGCGUAGAUAUUCGGAGGAACACCAGUGGCGAAGGCGGCCUGCUGGACAUUAACUGACGCUGAGGCGCGAAAGCGUGGGGAGCAAACAGG